CCGCACAUCCCUUUUUCCCCUCACUCUCUUUUCUCUUUUGCUCUACCUCCCGCCUCCGCCAUUGGUGACCAGUCCAUCUCCAGCUCUCUGACUCUCUUUUCUUUGGUCAGCUCUCCAUCUCCAUCUCUCCAUGACUCUAUCUCCAUCUCCAGCUCUCUGACUCUCUCCAUCACCACCUUCAAAGAACCCCAGCUCCAAAGAAACCGUCGGAUCUGGCUAGCUAAUGAGAAAAGAGAUCUUGGAAUUUCUUGAGGUGUUGACUUUAGCUACUAUUUGGGUGCUUGCUUUCCAUGAUUGGUGUUGUUGAAUUUGUAUUACAUUAAUGCUUUGCUUCGGCUUUUUUGCUUCGGCUUUUACCUUUUCCUACUUGAGGUACUAGAUUUCAAUCAUGUCUGGCCCAUGAUGAAUGAUGUGGGAAAAUAUGAUGCCCGUUCCUUUGUUUGAUUGAACAAACAAAAAAAAGGACCGACUGGUUAUAUGAGGCUGUGAUGAUUUUUUUUUAUUAUCAAUACGAAACUAAAUAAAAAUCAAGAUUUUGAGCUUUUCCGUAGCUUGGCUUGGUGAACUCUGGAGGGUCUGUGAAGGGUAUACAGAGGGCUCAAAAGGAAAAUUGGGCACUUUUGGUUCAUUUUUCCUUUUGGGUUCUUUAUCUGAUUUCUCUCAUGUGGCAACUGUUGUUUGUAGCCAUGGCGGUUUUAGCCUAUCUUGAUGUCAGACUCCAAUCUGAGCCUCCACUUUUCGCUCUUCAAG
rnacentral:lncRNA from 1 species